ACUGGCCCAAUGCACUGCAUGGGGUCUUGCUUUCUAGGAUGUCCUCCUUCUCUAAAUUAAGAGGAAAAGGUUUGCGAGGAAAAUAGACUUCUUAUAAACCUUGAUUAGCUUCUGAGCUGCUUCAGGUCCAUUUACUUUGUUUAUGGAAAACUCACUUCAGAAUUCUAUAUUACAAGCUUAGUUUGUUUGUUUCUCAGUUUGUCACUUGACCUGAACUGCUGUUAGUCCUCCCACAUAUAUUGAUAAUGGCAGUCUCUUGUUAAAAUGAGUACUUCCUUUCUUAUUUUGUACAGAUACUUUCCCUUUUUGUAAUCAAUUUUUGUUGGCAAAGUUUUAAAUUAAAAUUUUAAUCUCUGUUACUGUCUUUGUUUUGCUAAAUCAUAUUUCAAGACAAGCCUUGUGAUCUACAAGUCCAUGGGUAUUGUCUAACAAUUGCACUGUGACGCCAUCUCCUGCUGUUGAUGAAAGUACUCAUCCUGCUGUUGAUGAAAAUGACCUGCUUUUGGAGGUAAGCUUGGAAUUCUGCAAUACCCUCUCUGUCCAGACUGAUGUGCUCUGCUGCCAGAAUUCUGUUUGAGACUCUUACCAUAACUGAUUUGGAGAUGGAGACAUUGGGCAUCCUCUGACUCCUCCAGCCCUCAGUGUUCAUCUGACUGCUCUUUCCCUGUUUGCUACCAUAGUGACAUCAAAGAAAAUCAUGGACUUGGUACAUGAGCCACUGAAUGAAUUAGUUGUGCUCCUUGUACUGAGAAGGCUGGGUCCAAACUGAAUGGAAGAGAGUGGCAAGUGUGUGCCUUUUGAUUUUACUCCAGCUGCAUAAAGAGUCAGCAGAAGAGCCAAGAAUGUGAAAUCAAAUGCUUCAUCUGUCAUUCCUGUCACUUAGUCUUGGCAACAGCUCCUCUCUCAGCACAGCCCAGUGAUGUGGUGUUCCAAUGACUUAAUAAGAAAUUAUCUGUUGUCAUCCAAUGGUUGCACUAGGAAAACUAGUCUUUCAAGUGAGUCUUUGAGAGUCUUUCCUUUUCAGGCGAGCGUAUUGUUUGCACUGCAACAUAAGAUUCUUUCUGUGUUUAUGUAUUGCUGUGUACCUUAUCAGGGAGGAAGAUUGUUUUAUCUUGGUAGUUCAGGUCUAUCUUGGAGAGAUACAUUCCAAUUUACAGUCUGAAGCUUCUGAUACAACAAGCCACUUUGUAAUGACUCUGUAAUCCUGUUCUGCCUCCAUAAAUUAGGAUGAUUCAUACUCUGCCUUGUUCUGUGCUAGACUUAGGAUGAUGGAUCCAUCUGUACUUGCCAUAGUAUGACAGAGCAGUAAUUUUGGUGAAGAUGUUCUUAGCAUUGCUAUCGCCUCCACUAGUAAAUGGAUUUUCUUGCCUAA